GCGGCAUGGGUGCAGCGGGCACAACCGCACAAACCCUACCCCCAAUCCACAGCUGCCACUCCCUCCCUCCUCCUCGUCCCUCCCUCGUCUGCCGCCACCACUCCCUACCUCCUCGUCGCCCCUGCCUCCGCCCUAGGAGCUUCGCCGCCUCCCGCGCGCUCGUACUCUCCCUCGUCUCCUCUUCUCCGUGCUUCCGCCGCAGCCUCCGCUUCCCUCCUCCCUCUCGUCCGCGUGCGAGCGCACGCGGCAUGGGUGCAGCGGGCACAACCGCACAAACCCUACCCCCAAUCCACAGCUGCCACUCCCUCCCUCCUCCUCGUCCCUCCCUCGUCUGCCGCCACCACUCCCUACCUCCUCGUCGCCCCUGCCUCCGCCCUAGGAGCUUCGCCGCCUCCCGCGCGCUCGUACUCUCCCUCGUCUCCUCUUCUCCGUGCUUCCGCCGCAGCCUCCGCUUCCCUCCUCCCUCUCGUCGGCCUCAUCUCCUCCACCUCCACCACCUCCAUCUCCCUACCUCCGCACCUGGCUAGCACGGUCAGACCAUGCUAAGUGGACGAGAAGGCGUCAUCUCGAGAGGCAUGCCACACCUUCCAUGACGGCGCCCCGAUCUGCCGGAUCUUCCUCCUCAUCAGUCCAACGUAGAGGAUUGGCAGAUCCGCCUCCUCUUUGGUGUCAUCAACCAGAGAAGGUGUUUUUUCUUCUAGGCCGAUGGAUAGGGUAGGCGAAGAGGAGUGGCGGAUCUGCGUCCUCUUCGGCAUGCAGUUGUGCUCUCCAUUGUUGUGAGCUCGCCGCCUGUUGAGUUUGCUGCCGUUCUUGCACCGGUGCUGCUGCCGUGGAGGGCUUGGUUUAAUCUUGUCUACGGUGGGAUGGGGAUUCAGAGGAUAAAUUUUAUUGGCAGUAAGAAGUUAAGAGAUCAAGCGUGAGACAUCAAAUGUCAAGGGAGAUUUUAGUUUUUUCGUGUCUGUGUGUGCAGCUUGUCUACGGUGGGAUGGGGAUUCAAAGGAUAAAUUUUAUUGGCAGUAUGAGGUUAAGAGGUUGAGCGUGAGACGUCACAUGUCAAGGGGAUUUAGUAUUUAGUCUCUUCUAACCUGUGAAGAGAGACUACUGGUUUAAAGGGAAUCCAUACUUAAACAAGGUUUCUUCCAAUUCAACAAAGUCAGCUAUGGAGCUUUUCGAGGCAGUGGGACAUGAUGCCGCACGGAGAUGGGGAUGGCCAUGCCCAUCCCGAUGCUGCCGGCCGAUGUCGGUGAGAGCAUCACCGCCGACAAUGGCUCCAACGAGCUCUCCAUGAGCUCCUGGGACGACACCAACUCCAACAUCAUGUUCUUCGUGCCUGGAAGCAAGAAGGCCAAGGUGUUCAUCGAUGGUGACAACGGCAUGGUCACCAAAUUCAGCAAAAUCAAAUCCCAAUUUGGCCUGUCGAGCAUGUCUUUGGACAUGCCCGGCAUGGACGGCUACUUGCAGCCGCAGCAGGACUUCGUCGCCUGCAUAGUCUUGAGACAAGCGUGUCUGCGCCACUCACCCGUGAAGCAUCGCUAAGAGGCAAAGAAGAACAAGGAUUAGCAAGAGGCUAAGGAGGCUGCAAGACCUCGUACCCAACAUGGACAAGACAUUCCCAGUGGACUGUUGCUAUUAGUGAACCACCCUAUUGUCUACGGGUGCUUGAGACUAACAUUCUAACUUGCAAUCCUUAGCGGUAGGAAACUUAAUAGGUAAAUACGACACCCGUUCCAUUUUGUGACACGGUUUCUUUUUAUCAAUUCAAAUCUGAUCAAACUCCCGCUUCUUGAAUAUGGUUAUCUGUCUGUAGGGUUGUGUGCUGGACGUUUUGGCUGCUAUAGGGGUUAUUCAGUCUCGCCAUUUCUGGCUGGACGUCGAGCGCAUACAGGAUGCAAUCCAGAAUGUCUUGAUUAUCGUAGAAAGGGUUUAUCUUCUUGGUCCUCUAGCAAUAUGUGUACCAUGUCGCUCCGUACAGUGGCGCUGAUAAGGCAAAAUCCGGGAAGAAAGAAUGAUUCAGGGCUUCGUGCCAAGCAACAUCUGCAGUACACCAAUUAAUUCUCGAUACAUUUCGCGUAUUCAGCUUUUUCAUUAACUAUACAAAGUGCUCAUCUUGCUUCAGAUUCAAGUGAUCAGAUCUUGAUGAGAAGCAUGGCCGAAUGCACCUCCAACCACUAGAUUUCUGUGCCAAAAGUUCGAUUGAUGUAAUUUUCGAUGCAUCUAAGGUUUAUGUGAUUGGCGGGGAUGGAACAAUGAGAGGAGCAGUGGCGAUAUUCCAAGAGUUUAAACGGUGUGGUUUGAGGAUAUCCAUUACAUGGAUCCCAAAAAACUUGGACAACAACAUCGACAUUAUAGACAAGGCGUUUGGGUUUCAAACUGCAGUGGAGAGUGCUCGGUAGGCAAUCGAUGCGACACAUGUGAGGUUGUGAAUAUUGUGGAUGGCAUUGGUCUUGUCAAACUUAUGGGAAGGAGCACGGGCCACAUUACUCUUCAUGCCACCCUGAGCAGCCUGAGAUGUUGACUGUUUCAAUCCUGAGAUCGAUUUCCAUGUUGAAGGGAGGGGGCAUGCUAUUGUUGUUGUUGCUCAAGGCGCUGGUCAGGAGUUGAUUCCCCGGAUUGAUGACCAGAAGCGAGAGCAGGAUGAGUAUGGCAACAUGUUGUUCCUUAGCGUUGGCCUUCUUCUAUAAAGUUUACAUACAAUUCACCUGCAUGGUUAAAAAAGCUACUAUACUAAUGUAAAUGUUCUGUUUCUUUGAAGAUUACUCAUUUCUCUUA